CUACGGGGGGCUCCAGUGGGGAAUAUUGCACAAUGGGCGCAAGCCUGAUGCAGCCAUGCCGCGUGUAUGAUGAAGGCCUUCGGGUUGUAAAGUACUUUCAGCGGGGAGGAAGGGAGUAAAGUUAAUACCUUUGCUCAUUGACGUUACCCGAAGAAGAAGCACCGGCUAACUCCGUGCCAGCAGCCGCGGUAAUACGGAGGGUGCAAGUGUUAAUCGGAAUUACUGGGCGUAAAGCGCACGCAGGCGGUUUGUUAAGUCAGAUGUGAAAUCCCCGGGCUCAACCUGGGAACUGCAUCUGAUACUGGCAAGCUUGAGUCUCGUAGAGGGGGGUAGAAUUCCAGGUGUAGCGGUGAAAUGCGUAGAGAUCUGGAGGAAUACCGGUGGCGAAGGCGGCCCCCUGGACGAAGACUGACGCUCAGGUGCGAAAGCGUGGGGAGCAAACAGGAUUAGAUACCCUCGUAGUC
rnacentral:rRNA from 1 species